rnacentral:rRNA from 1 species
UCUCUGGACAGAUCCUGACGCUGAGGCACGAAGGCUGGGGGACCGAACAGGAUUAGAUACCCUGGUAGUCCCAGCAGUAAACGAUGUGAGCUUGAUGUGGGGGGAUUCGACCCCUUCCGUGUCGAAGCUAACGCGAUAAGCUCACCGCCUGAGGAGUACGGCCGCAAGGCUAAAACUCAAAGAAAUUGACGGGGACCCGCACAAGCGGUGGAGUAUGUGGCUUAAUUCGAUGCAACGCGAAGAACCUUACCUGGCCUUGACAUGCAUUGUGUCGUCGGUGAAAGCCGGCUAGUCCUGGAAACAGGACGCUUUGCACAGGUGCUGCAUGGCUGUCGUCAGCUCGUGUCGUGAGAUGUUGGGUUAAGUCCCGCAACGAGCGCAACCCUUGUGGUCAGUUACUAACCGGCUUAGCCGGAGGACUCUGGCCAGACUGCCCUGUCAAACGGGGAGGAAGGUGGGGACGACGUCAAGUCAGUAUGGCCCUUAUGGCCAGGGCUGCACACGUACUACAAUGCCCGGUACAAUGUGAACCGAAACCGCGAGGUGGAGGAAAUCGCUCUUGAAAACCGGGCCCAGUUCGGAUUGGAGUCUGCAACUCGACUCCAUGAAGUCGGAAUCGCUAGUAAUGGCGUAUCAGCAACGACGCCGUGAUACGUUCCCGGGUCUUGUACACACCGCCCGUCACAUCAUGGAAGUCUCCUGUACCCGAAGCACGUGCGCCAACCUUUCAGGAGGCAGCGUUCGAAGGUAUGGGAGGUAACUGGGAUGAAGUC